rnacentral:tRNA from 1 species
GGAGUUGUGGCUUAGUGGUAGAGCACUUGCCUAGCGAGUAUGAGGCACUGGGUUUGAUUCUCAGCACCA